rnacentral:rRNA from 1 species
ACCCUACGGGGCGCAGCAGUAGGGAAUCUUCCACAAUGGACGAAAGUCUGAUGGAGCAACGCCGCGUGAGUGAAGAAGGGUUUCGGCUCGUAAAGCUCUGUUGGGAGUGAAGAAAGAUAGAGGGAGGAACUGGCCUUUAUUUGACGGUAAUUAAUUAGAAAGUCACGGGUAACUACGUGCCAGUAGCCGCGGUAAUACGUAGGUGGCAAGCGUUGUCCGGCUUUAUUGGGCGUAAAGCGAGUGCAGGUGGGUUAAUAA